rnacentral:rRNA from 1 species
CACGCCGUAAACGAUGAGUGCUAGGUGUUGGGGGUCAAACCUCGGUGCCGCAGUUAACACAUUAAGCACUCCGCCUGGGGAGUACGUGCGCAAGCAUGAAACUCAAAGGAAUUGACGGGGACCCGCACAAGCAGCGGAGCAUGUGGUUUAAUUCGAAGCAACGCGAAGAACCUUACCAGGGCUUGACAUGCCCCUGACCGCUCUAGAGAUAGGGCCUUCCCUUCGGGGACAGGGGACACAGGUGG